GGGAUUGUGGCUCAGUGGCAGAGUGCUUGCCUCGCAUGUAUGAAGUACUGGGUUCAAUCCUCAGCACCA
rnacentral:tRNA from 1 species